rnacentral:rRNA from 1 species
GAUGAACGCUGGCGGCGUGCCUAAUACAUGCAAGUCGAGCGAACGGACCAGACGCUUGCUUUUCUGAUGUUAGCGGCGGACGGGUGAGUAACACGUGUAUAACCUACCUAUAAGACUGGUAUAACUUCGGGAAACCGGAGCUAAUCCCGGAUAAUAUUUUGAACCGCAUGGUUCAAAAGUGAAAGACGGUCUUGCUGUCACUUAUAGAUGGUUCCGCGCUGCAUUAGCUAGUUGGUAAGGUAACGGCUUACCAAGGCAACGAUGCAUAGCCGACCUGAGAGGGUGGUCGGCCACACUGGAACUGAGACACGGUCCAGACGCCUACGGGAGGCAGCAGUAGGGAAUCUUCCGCAAUGGGCGAAAGCCUGACGGAGCAACGCCGCGUGAGUGAUGAAGGUCUUCGGAUCGUAAAGCUCGGUUAUUAGGGAAGAACAUAUGUGUAAGUAACUGUGCACAGCUUGACGGUACCUAAUCAGAAAGCCACGGCUAACUACGUG